rnacentral:rRNA from 1 species
AUUCCAGCUCCAAUAGCGUAUAUUAAAGUUGUUGCGGUUAAAAAGCUCGUAGUUGGAUUUCUGCCGAGGAUGACCGGUCCGCCCUGUGGGUGUGCAUCUGGCUCAGCCUUGGCAUCUUCCUGAAGAACGUAGCUGCACUUGACUGUGUGGUGCGGUAUUUAGGACAUUUACUUUGAGGAAAUUAGAGUGUUUCAAGCAAGCGCACGCUUUGAAUACAUUAGCAUGGAAUAAUAAGAUAGGACCUCGGUUCUAUUUUGUUGGUUUCGAACACCGGAGUAAUGAUUAAUAGGGACAGUCAGGGGCACUCGUAUUCCGCUGAGAGAGGUGAAAUUCUCAGACCAGCGGAAGACGAACCACUGCGAAAGCAUUUGCCAGGGAUGUUUUCAUUA